CCUGGCUCACGAUGAACGCUAGCUACAGGCUUAACACAUGCAAGUCGAGGGGCAGCAUGGUCUUAGCUUGCUAAGGCCGAUGGCGACCGGCGCACGGGUGAGUAACACGUAUCCAACCUGCCGUCUACUCUUGGACAGCCUUCUGAAAGGAAGAUUAAUACAAGAUGGCAUCAUGAGUCCGCAUGUUCACAUGAUUAAAGGUAUUCCGGUAGACGAUGGGGAUGCGUUCCAUUAGAUAGUAGGCGGGGUAACGGCCCACCUAGUCUUCGAUGGAUAGGGGUUCUGAGAGGAAGGUCCCCCACAUUGGAACUGAGACACGGUCCAAACUCCUACGGGAGGCAGCAGUGAGGAAUAUUGGUCAAUGGGCGAGAGCCUGAACCAGCCAAGUAGCGUGAAGGAUGACUGCCCUAUGGGUUGUAAACUUCUUUUAUAAAGGAAUAAAGUCGGGUAUGGAUACCCGUUUGCAUGUACUUUAUGAAUAAGGAUCGGCUAACUCCGUGCCAGCAGCCGCGGUAAUACGGAGGAUCCGAGCGUUAUCCGGAUUUAUUGGGUUUAAAGGGAGCGUAGAUGGAUGUUUAAGUCAGUUGUGAAAGUUUGCGGCUCAACCGUAAAAUUGCAGUUGAUACUGGAUAUCUUGAGUGCAGUUGAGGCAGGCGGAAUUCGUGGCGUAGCGGUGAAAUGCUUAGAUAUCACGAAGAACUCCGAUUGCGAAGGCAGCCUGCUAAGCUGCAACUGACAUUGAGGCUCGAAAGUGUGGGUAUCAAACAGGAUUAGAUACCCUGGUAGUCCACACGGUAAACGAUGAAUACUCGCUGUUUGCGAUAUACUGCAAGCGGCCAAGCGAAAGCGUUAAGUAUUCCACCUGGGGAGUACGCCGGCAACGGUGAAACUCAAAGGAAUUGACGGGGGCCCGCACAAGCGGAGGAACAUGUGGUUUAAUUCGAUGAUACGCGAGGAACCUUACCCGGGCUUAAAUUGCAGAUGAAUUACGGUGAAAGCCGUAAGCCGCAAGGCAUCUGUGAAGGUGCUGCAUGGUUGUCGUCAGCUCGUGCCGUGAGGUGUCGGCUUAAGUGCCAUAACGAGCGCAACCCUUGUUGUCAGUUACUAACAGGUUCCGCUGAGGACUCUGACAAGACUGCCAUCGUAAGAUGUGAGGAAGGUGGGGAUGACGUCAAAUCAGCACGGCCCUUACGUCCGGGGCUACACACGUGUUACAAUGGGGGGUACAGAGGGCCGCUACCACGCGAGUGGAUGCCAAUCCCCAAAACCUCUCUCAGUUCGGACUGGAGUCUGCAACCCGACUCCACGAAGCUGGAUUCGCUAGUAAUCGCGCAUCAGCCACGGCGCGGUGAAUACGUUCCCGGGCCUUGUACACACCGCC
rnacentral:rRNA from 1 species